UACGAAGGGGGCUAGCGUUGCUCGGAAUGGCUGGGCGUAAAGGGCGCGUAGGCGGCUUGCACAGUCAGGCGUGAAAUUCCUGGGCUCAACCUGGGGACUGCGCUUGAGACGUGUGGGCUUGAGUGGGGAAGAGGGUCGUGGAAUUCCCAGUGUAGAGGUGAAAUUCGUAGAUAUUGGGAAGAACACCGGUGGCGAAGGCGGCGACCUGGUCCUUGACUGACGCUGAGGCGCGAAAGCGUGGGGAGCAAACAGG
rnacentral:rRNA from 1 species